rnacentral:rRNA from 1 species
UGGGGGAUAUUGCACAAUGGAGGAAACUCUGAUGCAGCAACGCCGCGUGAGGGAAGACGGUUUUCGGAUUGUAAACCUCUGUCCUUGGUGAAGAUAAUGACGGUAGCCAAGGAGGAAGCUCCGGCUAACUACGUGCCAGCAGCCGCGGUAAUACGUAGGGAGCAAGCGUUGUCCGGAUUUACUGGGUGUAAAGGGUGCGUAGGCGGCUCUUCAAGUCAGGCGUGAAAUAUAUGGGCUUAACCCAUAGACUGCGUUUGAAACUGUGGAGCUUGAGUGAAGUAGAGGUAGGCGGAAUUCCCGGUGUAGCGGUGAAAUGCGUAGAGAUCGGGAGGAACACCAGUGGCGAAGGCGGCCUACUGGGCUUUAACUGACGCUGAGGCACGAAAGCAUGGGUAGCAAACAGG